rnacentral:rRNA from 1 species
CAGUAGCCGCGGUAAGACGAACCGUGCGAACGUUAUUCGGAAUCACUGGGCUUAAAGCGCGUGUAGGCGGGAGGGCACGUCUGUCGCUGAAAUCCCCCGGCUCAACCGGGGAACUGGCGCGGAUACGACUCUUCUGGAAGAGCGUAGGGGGACCUGGAACUUCCGGUGGAGCGGUGAAAUGCGUUGAGAUCGGAAGGAACGCCCGUGGCGAAAGCGAGGUCCUGGACGCUUUCUGACGCUGAGACGCGAAAGCCAGGGGAGCGAACGGGAUUAGAUACCCCCGUAGUCCCUGUCUCUUAUA